GACGAACGCUGGCGGCGCGCCUAACACAUGCAAGUCGAACGGAGCUGAGAGAAGCUUGCUUUUCUUAGCUUAGUGGCGAACGGGUGAGUAACGCGUGAGUAACCUGCCCUGGAGUGGGGGACAACAGUUGGAAACGACUGCUAAUACCGCAUAAGCCCACGAUCCGGCAUCGGAUUGAGGGAAAAGGAUUUAUUCGCUUCAGGAUGGACUCGCGUCCAAUUAGCUAGUUGGUGAGGUAACGGCCCACCAAGGCGACGAUUGGUAGCCGGACUGAGAGGUUGAACGGCCACAUUGGGACUGAGACACGGCCCAGACUCCUACGGGAGGCAGCAGUGGGGGAUAUUGCACAAUGGGGGAAACCCUGAUGCAGCGACGCCGCGUGGAGGAAGAAGGUUUUCGGAUUGUAAACUCCUGUCGUGAGGGGCGAUAAUGACGGUACCUAACAAGAAAGCACCGGCUAACUACGUG
rnacentral:rRNA from 1 species